rnacentral:tRNA from 3 species
CGCGGGUUGGAGCAGUGGUAGCUCGUCGGGCUCAUAACCCGAAGGUCGUUGGUUCGAAUCCUUCACCCGCAACCA